UAGGGAAUCUUUCACAAUGGACGAAAGUCUGAUGGAGCAACGCCGCGUGAGUGAAGAAGGUUUUCGGAUCGUAAAGCUCUGUUGUUGGUGAAGAAGGAUAGAGGCAGUAACUGGUCUUUAUUUGACGGUAAUCAACCAGAAAGUCACGGCUAACUACGUGCCAG
rnacentral:rRNA from 1 species